rnacentral:rRNA from 1 species
GACGAACGCUGGCGGCGUGCUUAACACAUGCAAGUCGAGCGAUGAAGUUCCUUCGGGAACGGAUUAGCGGCGGACGGGUGAGUAACACGUGGGUAACCUGCCUCAUAGAGGGGAAUAGCCUUCCGAAAGGAAGAUUAAUACCGCAUAAGAUUGUAGUUUCGCAUGAAACAGCAAUUAAAGGAGUAAUCCGCUAUGAGAUGGACACGCGUCGCAUUAGCUAGUUGGUGAGGUAACGGCUCACCAAGGCGACGAUGCGUAGCCGACCGGAGAGGGUGAUCGGCCACAUUGUGACUGAGACACGGCCCAGACUCCUACGGGAGGCAGCAGUGGGGAAUAUUGCACAAUGGGGGAAACCCUGAUGCAGCAACGCCGCGUGAGUGAUGACGGUCUUCGGAUUGUAGAACUCUGUCUUCAGGGACGAUAAUGACGGUACCUGAGGAGGAAGCCACGGCUAACUACGUGCCAGCAGCCGCAGUAA